rnacentral:misc_RNA from 1 species
UCCUCAUUAAAAUGAGGCAGUCUGUCCAGAGUGCUUCGAACUCUCGUUCGAGUGGCAACAGGACACAGGGGUUGCGCUCGUUGCGGGACUUAACCCAACAUCUCAUGACACGAGCUGACGACAGCCAUGCAGCACCUGUGUUCAGGUUCCCUUUCGGGCACCGCUGCAUUUCUGCAGCGUUCCUGACAUGUCAAGGGUAGGUAAGGUUUUUCGCGUUGCAUCGAAUUAAUCCACAUAAUCCACCGCUUGUGCGGGUCCCCGUCAAUUCCUUUGAGUUUAAGCCUUGCGGCCGUACUCCCCAGGCGGUCAACUUCACGCGUUAGCUUCGUUACCAAGGAAUUACUUCCCCGACAACCAGUUGACAUCGUUUAGGGCGUGGACUAC